GACGAACGCUGGCGGCGUGCUUAACACAUGCAAGUCGAACGGAAAGGCCCUGCUUUUGUGGGGUGCUCGAGUGGCGAACGGGUGAGUAACACGUGAGUAACCUGCCCUUGACUUUGGGAUAACUUCAGGAAACUGGGGCUAAUACCGGAUAGGAGCUCCUGCUGCAUGGUGGGGGUUGGAAAGUUUCGGCGGUUGGGGAUGGACUCGCGGCUUAUCAGCUUGUUGGUGGGGUAGUGGCUUACCAAGGCUUUGACGGGUAGCCGGCCUGAGGGUGACCGGCCACAUUGGGACUGAGAUACGGCCCAGACUCCUACGGGAGGCAGCAGUGGGGAAUAUUGCACAAUGGGCGGAAGCCUGAUGCAGAAACGCCGCGUGCGGGAUGACGGCCUUCGGGUUGUAAACCGCUUUCGCCUGUGACGAAGCGUGAGUGACGGUAAUGGGUAAAGAAGCACCGGCUAGCUACGUG
rnacentral:rRNA from 1 species